GGCGUCAUAGCUCAGUUGGGAGAGCAGCAGACUGAAGAGAAUUCGGUGUUAUCUGAAGGUCCCGUGUUCAAGCCACGGUGAUGCCA